rnacentral:rRNA from 1 species
UACGUAGGUGGCAAGCGUUGUCCGGAUUUAUUGGGCGUAAAGCGCGCGCAGGCGGCUUGAUAAGUUUCAGGUGAAAUCUCCCGGCUCAACCGGGAGGGUGCCUGGAAAACUAUCAGGCUUGAGUCAUGGAGAGGGAUGUGGAAUUCCCGGUGUAGUGGUGAAAUGCGUAGAUAUCGGGAGGAACACCAGUGGCGAAGGCGGCAUCCUGGCCAUGUACUGACGCUCAGGGGCGAAAGCGUGGGGAGCAAACCGG